AGAUCCAUCCUUUUCGAAAUCACCGUGGACCUCACAGGCGGCACCAGUCUCCCAAGGAUAUUUACCCGGCACUUUGCAAACUCUGUCCAAGACUGGUCUUGAAGGGGCUCAUUCACAGUGGCGCUCUCAGGAUCCUUACAAAUUCUUCCGGCAAAUCUCGAAUCGACUUUGUAACACAGGUAAGCGAACUGCUGCUCUACCACC